rnacentral:lncRNA from 1 species
AAAAAUCACGUGCCUCCAUUCUCCCGGUUCUCCCUUCUCCGCGGUGCCUCCUCGCUUUCUCCUAUCUCCCACCAAAAAAAAACAAAGGUCCUCCGCCAAAGAAAAGAUCCUCUUGGGCGCACCUCCGUGUACCCUUCCUUCCCCUGUUCCACAUCCGUGGAUCCCACCAAAAAAAAAAAAACUAUGCUUCAUCCUUUGUCUACCCUCCCUUCCCCUAUUCCAAAAAAAAAGCUUCUCUCUCACGCGCCUCCGUGUACCCUCUCU